rnacentral:rRNA from 1 species
UCGAGGAUCUUCGGCAAUGGGCGCAAGCCUGACCGAGCGACGCCGCGUGUGCGAUGAAGGCCUUCGGGUUGUAAAGCACUGUCGAGGGGGGGGAAGCCGCAAGGUUGACCUAUCCCUGGAGGAAGCACGGGCUAAGUUCGUGCCAGCAGCCGCGGUAAGACGAACCGUGCAAACGUUGUUCGGAAUCACUGGGCUUAAAGGGCGCGUAGGCGGGCUCGCCAGUCUGUGGUGAAAGCCCCCGGCUUAACCGGGGAAGUGCCGUGGAUACUGCGAGCCUCGAGGAGGGUAGGGGCAUCUGGAACAGCCGGUGGAGCGGUGAAAUGCGUUGAUAUCGGCUGGAACUCCGGUGGCGAAGGCGAGGUGCUGGGCCCUUGCUGACGCUGAUGCGCGAAAGCCAGGGGAGCAAACGG